CAUCCUGAAGAUCAGCGUGUGCGAUGC
rnacentral:piRNA from 1 species